rnacentral:rRNA from 1 species
UACGUAGGAUGCGAGCGUUGUCCGGAAUCAUUGGGCGUAAAGCGCGUGUAGGCGGUCCGGUAAGUCUGGUGUGAAAACUUGAGGCUCAACCUCAAGCUGUCAUCGGAUACUGUCGGACUUGAGUCCGGAAGAGGAGAGUGGAAUUCCUGGUGUAGCGGUGGAAUGCGCAGAUAUCAGGAGGAACACCUAUGGCGAAGGCAGCUCUCUGGUACGUGACUGACGCUGAGACGCGAAAGCGUGGGGAGCGAACAGGAUAGAUACCGAGUAGUCAGAC